GACGAACGUUGGCGGCGUGCCUAAUACAUGCAAGUCAAAUGAAGCAGUGUAGCACUUCCUCUUCUUAGGUGGGUCACGGGCGGGUAACUCGUACGUAGUUUGCCUUCCUGUUUGGCAGAACUCCGGAAAAGAGAGGCUAGUAACUACUGCAUCACCGUGUCUGCCACGUGACAUUUGUUAAAACUAUGGCGUUUGACGAUGAGCCUGUGGCUGAUUAGUUAGUUGGCGGGUUGACGGCCCACCAAGGCAACUAUCAGUCGCUGGUCUGAGAGGAUGAUCAGCCACACUGGAACUGAGACACGGUCCAGACUCCUACGAGAAGCAGCAGUAAGGAAUAUUGCGCAAUGGGGGAAAUCCUGAAGCAGCAACGCCGAGAGAGGGACGGAGGGCUUUAGCUUGUAAACCUCUGUAGUGAGAGAAAGAAAUCCCAAUCUUCGGGACAUGAUGGUAUCUCAAAAGUAAGCCCCGGCUAACUACGUG
rnacentral:rRNA from 1 species